rnacentral:rRNA from 1 species
UUUUAGAAAUUAAUUUAAAGUCUAACCUGCCCACUGAUAAUUUUAAAUGGCCGCAGUAUUUUAACUGUGCAAAGGUAGCAUAAUCAUUAGUCUUUUAAUUGAAGGCUGGAAUGAAUGGUUGAAUGAAAUAUUAACUGUUUCAUAAAAAUUUUUAUUAGAAUUUUAUUUUUUAGUUAAAAAGCUAAAAUUAUAUUAAAAGACGAGAAGACCCUAUAAAUCUUUAUAUUUAAAUAGUUUUAAUUAUUUAGAUUAAUUGAAUUAUAACUAUUUAUAAAUAUUUUAUUGGGGUGAUAUUAAAAUUUAAUAAACUUUUAAAUUUAAAUUUACAUAAAUUAAUGAAUUAUUGAUCCAUAAAUUAUGAUUAUUAAAUUAAGUUACUUUAGGGAUAACAGCGUAAUUUUUUUAGAGAGUUCUUAUUGAUAAAAA